AUUAAUAAAUUUAAAGGAGGGACAAACGUGCUGAUCGUAAAUAAUGCUAUUUAAUUUAAUUACAUAAAUGGACAAUGUCCAGUAAAAAAGUAAUUGCGAACAACGGAAUUAAAACUGUAAGGAAGGUGGCUGCUCUAUUGUUUGGAAAACAGUUAAAUAGCUGUUUUCUGUUUACAAAACAUUCCAAUAGCAAACAUUUUGCAAAAACCAGAGCAGACUUAAAAACGAAAUCAAAAGAUUUGGCCACGAUUUGCUACGAUUAACGCAGCAUUACUGAUAGAAAUUAACAAAACAAGCAGUGAAAUAAAAAGACCCCAAAAAAAUGUCGAAACUGUGGGCAUGACAAUAUGCUCUGCGAAGGAAAAUAAAUUGAACAUAAAAACAACAGAGAAUGCUAUAGUCUAGAAAUUGGCAAGACAAACCAAACUUGCGCUGCGUCUGUGUCUCUAGAAUCUGUAUGCUUAAUCUCAACGCAGCUUUUAUAGUUCCUGAAAUCUCGACGUUCAUACGGCCGACAAAAUAUCUUAUAAAAUACAUGCUUAAUAAUAUGAGUACGUAAAUAUUUUCUUACCUGCGUUGCAAACUUAUGAAUAAAAUCAAUCAUGUUUAAAAAGAUUUCCACUCCUACAAGCCGACAAAAAAUCGCGCGCCCACACCUUUGAUAAAGAUUUUUGGCAUUUAUUUUUUUUGGCUAGACUAUUGAUUCUGAC
rnacentral:lncRNA from 1 species